rnacentral:rRNA from 1 species
GAUGAACGCUGGCGGCGUGCCUAAUACAUGCAAGUCGAGCGAAUGGAUUGAGAGCUUGCUCUUAUGAAGUUAGCGGCGGACGGGUGAGUAACACGUGGGUAACCUGCCCAUAAGACUGGGAUAACUCCGGGAAACCGGGGCUAAUACCGGAUAACAUUUUGAGCCGCAUGGUUCGAAAUUGAAAGGCGGCUUCGGCUGUCACUUAUGGAUGGACCCGCGUCGCAUUAGCUAGUUGGUGAGGUAACGGCUCACCAAGGCAACGAUGCGUAGCCGACCUGAGAGGGUGAUCGGCCACACUGGGACUGAGACACGGCCCAGACUCCUACGGGAGGCAGCAGUAGGGAAUCUUCCGCAAUGGACGAAAGUCUGACGGAGCAACGCCGCGUGAGUGAUGAAGGCUUUCGGGUCGUAAAACUCUGUUGUUAGGGAAGGACAAGUGCUAGUUGAAUAAGCUGGCACCUUGACGGUACCUAACCAGAAAGCCACGGCUAACUACGUGCCAGCAGCCGCAGUAA